rnacentral:lncRNA from 1 species
GGACUUACUCCUUUGGCCACAUAUGUAUGAUUCUACAAAAACAGCCCUCCCACAGACAUCAAAGAAACAAUUAUGGAUCAAAGUGGAACGCGCCAUAAAUGUCACCAUGGCAAAGCUGGCAGAGUUUACCAUGUCACCCAGUGCUACUGGCACUGUAAACAAACAGGUUGAGGGCAAGAUUCUGAAAGAAGGAACAUAGAUGCUGAGCGUGGUCUGAGGUGAGUCCCUGAUGGAAGGAAAGCAGAAGCCAAAGAGAAAGGU